rnacentral:misc_RNA from 1 species
UAUGGCCAAGGAGGCAAAUCUGCAUAGCGAAACAAAGACCAGGCAUAGACUGUAAUUUAUGGCAAUAGACUUGGGGCAAAUCUGACCUUUCUUCAAUCAUUUGGUUCAUCUCUACAUCUUUGAACCAAUCAGCAAACUUUUGGACUUCUUUUGACUACUAACACCAGUGUGAUCACUGCCAUUUGCUUUGGCAAUGGUUGUAUGACAGUACAACUGCUGUGUGCUUGUUCUUCACUGCCAGAAACUUAUACUUUUUAGUGCUGUUGUUGUAACAUCAGUUCUUGAUGUUGGCUGUGGUGAUGGGUAUUCUUUAAUUUUUUGGUACUGAUUAAAUUUUGAUGUGUUAGUGGAAUCAUUUUAAUAAUGUAUUUUUAUGGAAUUAUGGAAAUGAUCAAUCAAGCUAAAGGAGUUUAUAGCGAAAUUACAUAUAGCAAAAUGUAUUUAUCAAUUUUAAAGAGCUAUCACAAACACUCAAGAAGUAUGUGCCAUCAGAAUCUUGCUGAGCUACUAAGAUUUACUUUUUCAAAUUUAUGUUUUGUUCUAAAUCCAUAUUGG